rnacentral:rRNA from 1 species
AGAGUUUGAUCCUGGCUCAGAUUGAACGCUGGCGGCAUGCCUUACACAUGCAAGUCGAACGGUAGAGGGGCAACCCUUGAGAGUGGCGAACGGGUGAGUAAUGCAUCGGAACGUGCCCAGUCAUGGGGGAUAACGCAGCGAAAGCUGUGCUAAUACCGCAUGUGAUCUGUGGAUGAAAGCAGGGGACUUGGUAGCAAUACUGGGCCUUGUGCGAUUGGAGCGGCCGAUGUCAGAUUAGCUAGUUGGUAGGGUAAAAGCCUACCAAGGCGACGAUCUGUAGCUGGUCUGAGAGGACGACCAGCCACACUGGGACUGAGACACGGCCCAGACUCCUACGGGAGGCAGCAGUGGGGAAUUUUGGACAAUGGGCGCAAGCCUGAUCCAGCAAUGCCGCGUGCAGGACGAAGGCCUUCGGGUUGUAAACUGCUUUUGUACGGAGCGAAACGGUCUGGGUUAAUACCCUAGGCUAAUGACGGUACCGUAAGAAUAAGCACCGGCUAANUACGUGCCAGCAGCCGCGGUAAUAC